rnacentral:tRNA from 1 species
GCAUUGGUGGUUCAACGGUAGAACGCUCACCAACCACGCCCCAUGUGAUCUGGGGUUCGAUUCCCAGCCAACGUA